AUGGCCUCAACCUACUAUACCCAACAAGCAACUCGAAGCUAUGGGGCCUACCCCACCCAGCCUGGGCAGGGCUAUUCCCAGCAGAGCAAUCAGCCCUAUGGACCACAGAGUUACAGUGGUUAUGGACAGUCAGCAGACACUUCAGGCUAUGGCCAGAGCAGCUAUGGUUCUUCUUAUGGACAGACCCAGAACAGCUAUGGCACUCAGUCAGCUCCCCAGAGAUAUGGCUCAACCGGUGGCUAAGGUGGUAGCCAGAGUUCUCAGUCAUCUUAUGGGCAACAGUCCUCUUAUCCUGGCUAUGACCAGCAGCCAGCCCCUAGCAGCACCUCGGGAAGUUAUGGUAGUGGUUCUCAGAGCAGCGGCUAUGGGCAGCCCCAGAGUGGGGCUAUGGCCAGCAGUCUGGCUAUCGUGGACAGCAGCAAGGCUAUGGACAGCAGCAAAGCUCCUAUAAUCCCCCUCAAGGCUAUGGACAGCAGAACCAGUACAACAGUAGCAGUGGAGGUAGCUAUGGCCAAGAUCAGUCCUCCAUGAGUGGUGGUGGUGGCGGUUAUGGCAAUCAGGACCAGAGUGGUGGUGGCGGUGGCUAUGGGUGAGGCCAGCAGGACCGUGGGGGCCACGGCCGGGGCGGUGGCGGUGGUUACAACUGCAGCAGCGGUGGCUAUGAACCCAGAGGUCGUGGAGGUGGCCGUGGAGGCAGAGGCGGCAUGGGCAGAAGUGACCAUGGUGGCUUCAAUAAAUUUGGUGGCCCUCGUGACCAGGGAUCACGUCAUGACUCUGAACAGGAUAAUUCAGACAACACCACCAUCUUCGUGCAAGGCUUGGGUGAAAAUGUUACAAUUGAGUCUGUGGCUGAUUACUUCAAACAGAUUGGUAUUAUUAAGACAAAUAAGAAAACAGGACAGCCCAUGAUUAAUCUGUACACAGACAGGGAAAUGGGCAAGCUGAAGGGAGAGGCAACAGUGUUGUUUGAUGACCCACCUUCUGCUAAAGCAGCUACUGACUGGUUUGAUGGUAAAGAAUUCUCUGGGAAUCCCAUCAAGGUCUCAUCUGUUACUCGGCGAGCAGACUUCAAUUGGGAUGGUGGCAAUGGUCAUGGAGGCCGAGGGCAAGGAGGACCCAUGGGCCGUGGAGGCUAUGGAGGUCGUGGCAGUGGUGGUGGUGGCCAGGGAGGAUUCCCUAGUGGAGGAGCUGGUGGCAGCGGCCAGCAGCGAACUGGUGACUGAAGUGUCCUAAUCCUAUAUGUGAGAACAUGAACUUCUCUUGGAGGAAUGAAUGCAACCAAUGUAAGGCCCCUAAACCAGAUGGCCAAGGAGGGGGACCAGAAGGCUCUCAUAUGGGGGUAACUAUGGAGAUAAUCGUCGUGGUGGCAGAGGAGGCUAUGAUCGGGGCGGCUACCAAGGCCGAGGCGGGGACCAUGGGAGCUCCCGAGGGGGCCAGGAUUGUGGGGACAGAGGUAACUUUGGCCCUGGCAAGAUGGACUCCAGAUGAGCACAGACAGGAUCGCAAGGAGAGGCCGUAUUAG